GGGAUAGUCUCAUCUUAGUUUCCUGAGUAGCUGGGACUACAGGACACAACAUUUGUCUCCUCCAGAAGAUGCAGCAACAAGGUAUCAUCUUGGAAGCAGAGACAGGGCCUUCACCAGACACCAAACCCAAAGAUCCCUUCAUCUUGGACUUUCAGCCUCCAGAACUGUGAGAAAUAAAUUCCUAUUCUUUUAAAAUUA